AAAAAUGGAAUGAUAGUUAUAGUAGGCAAGUAAUAAGAGAUGUUAGUGUUGAUAGGAUUAUUUAUUUUAGUGAUCUAGCAUGUAUAGAAAAUACAAGAAUGGAUAGAUGUGCCUUUCAUGCAUUGUGUAACAUGCUUAAAAGGGUUGGAAGGUUAGAACCAAGUAGGAAUAUGGGUGUGGAAGAAAUGGUUGCCAUAUUUUUACAUAUUAUAGCACAUGGUGUCAAAAUUAGAGUAAUAAAGAGACAAUUUAAUUUGUGAGAUCUGAAGAAACAAUUAGUAGACGGUUUAAUGAUGUAUCGCUUGCUAUUUUGAGAUGUCAUAAUCUCUUACUGAAGAAACCUCAACCAUUUAGCCAGGAUAGAAUGGAUGAACGAUGGAAAUGGUUUAAAGAUUGCCUAGGAGUCUUAGAUGGUACUCAUAUCAAAGUCAAUGUCCUUGAGGCUGAUAAGACUAGAUAUCGAAACAGAAAAGGUGACAUAACAACCAAUGUGUUUGGAGUGGUUGCUCCCGAUAUGCAAUUUAUCUACGUACUGGCGGGUUGGGAGGGUUUAGUUGCGGAUUCUAGGGUAUUGCGAAAUGCACUAUUUCGCAAUGGGUUUAGUGUUCCCCAAGGUAUUUUAUUGAGACUUUAAUAUGUUAUCAAAGUAACCAUUUGAUCUUUCAUUAAUUUUGUUCAAUUGUGU